AUUGAACGCUGGCGGAAUGCUUUACACAUGCAAGUCGAACGGUAGAGGGGGCAACCCCUUGAGAGUGGCGAACGGGUGAGUAAUAUAUCGGAACGUGCCCAGUCGUGGGGAUAACGUAGCGAAAGUUACGCUAAUACCGCAUACGAUCUAAGGAUGAAAGCGGGGGAUCGCAAGACCUCGCGCGAUUGGAGCGGCCGAUAUCAGAUUAGGUAGUUGGUGAGGUAAAGGCUCACCAAGGCGACGAUCCUUAGCUGGUCUGAGAGGAUGAUCAGCCACACUGGGACUGAGACACGGCCCAGACUCCUACGGGAGGCAGCAGUGGGGAAUAUUGGACAAUGGGCGAAAGCCUGAUCCAGCAAUGCCGCGUGAGUGAUGAAGGCCUUAGGGUUGUAAAGCUCUUUUACCCGGGAUGAUAAUGACAGUACCGGGAGAAUAAGCUCCGGCUAACUCCGUGCCAGCAGCCGCGGUAAAGU
rnacentral:rRNA from 1 species